rnacentral:sRNA from 1 species
ACACUCUACCACCAUGAAUCCACUCCUGAUCCUUACCUUUGUGGCAGCUACUCGUGUCCCUGAAUUCUGGCUACCACUUCUGCGGUGGCUCCCUCAUCAACGAACAGUGGGUGGUGUCAGCAGGUCACUGCUACAAGUCGUAAGUGUGGGGCCCCCGACUGCAAAGCUCCCGGCCAGUCUGCCUGGGAGAGCUUGGCUUCAGCCCAGGGAACUAUUGAGGUUGGGUAAGAUGGAUGGGAGAGGUGGUGGAGAAGAAAACUUGUUGGCAGCAGCUGACUCUCCAGAGCAGAGAGUGAACACAAGACAGGAAGCUCUCACACCCAGGCAAAUCCAUGAAACAGCAAGGGUUGUGGUCAUAAAAGCAGGCAGGGAUGAUCUUGGGGUGGUGAGAGCUAGUGAGAAAAGCAGGCAAGUAUCUUUUGCUGGUUAGCUACACAUUAAAGCCACCUAAGAAAGACUUUUUAAAAAUACAGAUGUCUUUGUCCUAUCCCAGGGCAAUUAAGUCAAAAUUCUCAGGAAGAGGGUAUGAAUGUCAGUGAGAAUUUUACACUCUACCUCUGGUAACUGUAGAGUGUAUAGACAGAGCUGAGAACUGCUGCCUACACCAAGAACUCUCAAACCUGAAUAUGCAUCAGAACACCCUGCAGGCUUGUUAAGGCACAAAUCACUGGGUCCCAUCCCCAAGGUUCUGAUCAGUAGGUGGGGGUAAGGACCAAGAAUUCACAUUUCGAACAAGUUCCCAGGAGAUGCUAAUGCUAUGGCUACCCUUGGAUUAGAUUACACAGAAGGGUGGUUCUCACCAGGCCAAGAAGGGAGGGAGGAACAGGCACUGUGCACAGUUAACAAAGGCCUGGGGUGAAGAAUGCUGGGAAAACUUCAAGGAGCUCCUUGUGCCCACAGUGCUAGUGACUGUGGAGAUUGUGGGAAAGAGUCUGGGAAGGCAGGUUGAGGAGCAGCCUCUGGUGGGAUCCCUUUGACUCUUCCCCACUGCACUACCACCAACCUCUGAAGCAGAUAGGUCCUGGGUCUCACAUCUGCACUGACCCACAUCCUUCUGCUGCCCAUGCAAUAUGACCACACACCCCACCCCAUGCCUCCAGAGAUGUCCAUGAGCAGGGAGCUUGAGGAACCUGGGGAAGGUGGGAUAGGUGCCCUGGCUGUGGGAGAAGGUCUUCACCACGUCUGCCCUGCCCAUCAGCCGCAUCCAGGUGAGACUGGGAGAGCACAACAUCGAAGUCCUGGAGGGGAAUGAGCAGUUCAUCAAUGCAGCCAAGAUCAUCCGCCACCCCCAAUACGACAAGAAGACUCUGAACAAUGACAUCAUGUUAAUCAAGCUCUCCUCACGUGCAGUCAUCAACGCCCGCGUGUCCACCAUCUCUCUGCCCACCGCCCCUCCAGCCACUGGCACGAAGUGCCUCAUCUCUGGCUGGGGC